UUGUGGACGAUGAAGAGGUUUCUGGGUAAAGCUGAUAGAAAUAUAAUGAAGUAACAGUGAAAGCUAAAACAUCAGACUGAUCCAGACACUGAAGAAAUUGAUGUCACUGCAAUCUGGCCAAAAUGAUACAACUAUAUUGAAGUAGCCUACUGUAAUGAAGCUGCAGAACAACACAGAGACUCUGAGGACAUCAACACAGAAAAUUAAGGCUCCAAAGAGAUGUCUGUCCAGAUGAGGGUGCAUCAACGUUACCUUUGCUGACAAGUAUAUGCUUUACAAUGUAAAACCUAACAGUUAACUUAACUCAAACCAUUUAAGGAAAUCGGUUGCCUUAACCCAUUAAGUUU